rnacentral:misc_RNA from 1 species
CUCAAUCCCUUAUCCCUUCUGACUGAGACGCAUAUGUUUGGAUGGAACCGCAUCGUUUUCGGUGCGCAUGCCGCAUGCACUGAUGAUGUCCGGUCUAGGCUUAUCCAGUUGAGAAAUGAAAUAGGUGGGCUGAACGGCCGAUCUGAUACGUCUAGUAGUACGGUAGUGCUCACAAUUUAUAUACUGUUAUUCAUAGAACUUAUAUUAACGUGUUAAAAGUGUUUUUUGUGCAACGUCACUCUCAAACGUGUGAAGACCUGGAUAAGGAAUACGAUGUCGAACAAUCGUCUAAGUGGGCUAUGCCUGUUAUCUGUACACAGAAGAAAAAUAAAAGAAAAUAAAGAAAACUUCAUGCAGAAAGUAAUUGAUUUAUUUGCGAUGGACACCAGAAGAAUUCAAUUAUUAUUUAAGUAACAUUUUACUGACACUAACCGUGUUGCGUUUUAAACAGCAAAACAAUUUUUCUUGUA